UACAGAGGGGGCAAGCGUUGUUCGGAAUUACUGGGCGUAAAGAGCGCGCAGGCGGUCGUUCAAGUCGCGUGUGAAAGCCCCCGGCUCAACUGGGGAGGGUCACGCGAUACUGAUCAACUCGAAGGCAGGAGAGGGUAGUGGAAUUCCCGGUGUAGUGGUGAAAUGCGUAGAUAUCGGGAGGAACACCAGUGGCGAAGGCGACUACCUGGCCUGUUCUUGACGCUGAGGCGCGAAAGCUAGGGGAGCAAACGGG
rnacentral:rRNA from 1 species